GUUGUUAUUUUCUUUUUUUAUCACCGGCGCUACUCGCCUCUUAAGAUGUUUUGAACACAAUAUUCAUGAUUUUUCUUAUUUUUUCUUAUAUUUUUCUUCCCCAUCACUUGGGCACCAUCAACUUUGUAAUUUGUUUAUUAUUUUCUCUCUUCCCUUUCAUUUUUUAUUCUUUUCUCUCUCCCUAUUUAUAUUUAUAUUAUAUUUUAUGAUGACCAAAUUACCAACUUACCCUUGUAUGAUUUGAUAUAUUAUUUUGAUCAGGUUUUACAUUUUUUUGGCUGAGAGACAGUUUGGUCCAAAGUUUUUUGUCGAAGCCGGUGACACCAAAAUGGAGCUCUGGCUUUAUAUAUUAACUAUAUUGACCAUGAUCAAUAAUCAAAGUCCACGUUGGUGAAGACAAAUUGGUCUCAAUCAAACUCCGUAGAAAUUAAUGUUUCAUGGCCUUAUAUUAAAGGUCGAAGGACCUACUAAAAUAAAUGUUUUUUUUUCCUUGCUUAGACCAAUGAAGUUGAAAACAACCCAAUUUGGUUAUUUGUAUUUAGGGGAUAAGCCAAUGAAAUCCACCUAUUCCCAAGGGAUUUUCUAGGCUUGAACAUGUACAAAAUAAGAAACAAAAAUUGAUUAAUUUACAUACACUAUUUUACUAGUAUUUUGAUCGUCUACUUGUAUGUUCGUUUUGAAAUGGUGCUUAGAGUUCGAACCGCAUAUUUGAUGAGAUAUAUUUAUUGUUUUUCUAAUAUAAAGAGAUAAAAUAAAUUAUUUAUCAUUCGUGAGAUUUGAAUUCAGACAUUGAGGGCUCAUUUAGUGCCUAGAUUUGAGAUGGACCUUGCAUCAACUUAUGAAUAAGUUGGACUACUCUCCAUAUUGCCAAUUGAUUUUAUAGUGGAACCUCAACUUUCUCAUAGUAUUAGAGUAGUUUGUCCCAUACAUGAUCCACGUCACCUCAUUUGUGUUGUUCACAUGUUGGGCUUGAAAAUUUGUCACACGUGAGGGUGCGUAUUGAGAAUUACUCUCACAUUACUGAAAUGAGAGACCUUGCACAAUUUUGCAAUUAAAUUGAACUAUUUUGUAUAUUGUCAAUUCGUUUUAUAUUGAAACUUCAACUUUUUUCACUUAAGCUAUGUUGAAUUAAAAAAUUAAGAUAGAGGUGAAUAGUUUUUCAAUAUCAAUAAGGUAAUAGUUAUGUGGUUUUGAUAUUUUGCAAUUUUUUAAAAACUAAAAAGAAUAAUUUUUCUUCAUAAGUAAUUUAUUUUUUAUGUAACAACCCGUCCCCAAUUAUUACAAUUUUAUAAAGUGAAUUUACGAAAAUGCCCUUGAAGGAAAAUGCGUUGACUUUUGCUGACUGCCUUGUCGAGUUAUGUAAGAUUCAUUUUCUUGGUGUAUCCUCGUAAUACUCGUUGCUACGAACGCGUGGGGGCAAACGGAUCGUGAUUUGGAGUUAUAACGAAUGAGAUAUUAACGUUUAAAGUUGGGGCAUUUUAGUAAAUUGGUUAUUUUCUAGAAAGCUCCAUAUUUUUGGAGCUUAAUCUAGA
rnacentral:lncRNA from 1 species